rnacentral:rRNA from 1 species
GUUGCGCCAGAGUCAUUAGGCAGAGGGCACGUCUGCCUGGGUGUCACACA